rnacentral:lncRNA from 1 species
AGUGUGUACGACUCCACAGAGCAUUUGGAUUACACUCCUCCGAAUGCUGAAGGAAAAACGCUCAAAAUCUCAUUCUUCAGGGGGAAGCGUUGCCACUCCGAGGUGCCCACUGGGAACGAAUCCCAAAGCCACGAGCGCCUGCCUAGUGGGGAAUGUGAACUGUUAUCCUGAGAGUCGUCCUUCUCUCUCCCUGGUCCAGGACAGAAAAUACUGAAUAGACAGGAAUUUCUGAAGUCUAAACGCCUCCAAUGAUAACAGGAGUGUUAUUGGAAAGGGAACAAGCGAGAAGACACAGUCUUCGAGGAGUUAAGUUUUGCUAAUCUAAUGAUGAGACUGCAUUCAUGAAGACUGAGUGAAGACUUUAUUGCACCAUCACAUCACUAAGGUUUUUCUCCAACAUGAACAUUCUGAUGAAGUCGAAGGCUUGAGGCCUGACUAAAGCACAUAUCACACUCCCUACACUUCCAUGUUUUCUCUCCCAUGUGGACCCUCUGAUGCAUAUCAAGAUUCAAGCGCCUGUUGUAGCCCUUCCCACAGUCCUCACAUUUGUAUGGCUUUUCUACACUGUGAACUUUUUCUUGCACUUUAGAGAAUGAAUUCUGUACAAUGUUCUUCCCAUGCUGCUCACAUUUGAGAGGUGUUUCUCUGCUGUGGCGUCUCUGAUGGGUCAGACGAGUUGAGGACCAGCUGAAGCCCUUCCCACACUCAUCACAUUUGUAUGGCUUUUCUCCAGUGUGCACUCUUUGAUGAGAAUGAAGCUGUGAAUUCUGAGUAAAUCUUUUCCCACACUCUUCACAUUUGAAUGGUUUUUCUCCACUGUGCAGUCUCUGAUGUUUCAAAAGACACGAGGCCCAGCCAAAACUCUUCCCACAUUCCUUACAAUUGUAUGGUCUCUCUCCUGUGUGGACCUUCUGGUGCAUAUCAAGAUUAAACUUACUAUUGUAGCCCUUUCCACACUUCUCACAUUUGUAUGGCUUUUCUCCAGUGUGAACUCUCUGAUGGGAAUGAAGAUGUGAAUUUUGAGUAAAUCUCUUCCCACACUCUUCACAUUGGAAUGGUUUUUCUCCACUGUGGAGUCUCUCAUGUUUCAAAAGACAUGGGGCCCGACUAAAGCUCUUCCCACAUUCCUUACAAUUAUACAGUUUCUCUCCUGUAUGGACGCGCUGGUGAAAGUCAAGAUCCAACCUCCUUUUGUAGCCCUUCCCACACUCCACACAUUUGUAUGGUUUUUCUCCACUAUGGGAUCUCUGGUGGGAAUAGCAUUGUGAAUUUGUGUAAAAUCCUUUCCCACAUUCUUCACAUUUGAAUGGUUUUUCUCCACUGUGGACUCGCUGAUGUUUCAAAAGACACGAGGCCCAUCUGAAGCUCUUCCCACACUCUUUACAAUUAUAUGGCUUUUCUCCCGUGUGGACCAUAUGAUGCGUAUAAAGAUCUCGCCUACAAAUAAAGCCUUUUCCACACUCCUCA